CACUGAUGUAGAGGCACCCUUAGAGUGCGUUCACACUGUAGAAUCUCCACUCGCUGAGUUCCGCGAGCAGAGAUUCCGCCUGGCAGCCGCCGCCGGGGAUUCUUCUGCGCUAGGGCCGUGGGGCACUGAGCCGUCACCAUUGACGGCUAUGCAUGUUCUUUCUUUGCGCGGAACAAUUUCCACCGUUCCGCAGUGUGAACAAUUUCCACCGUUCCGCAGUGUGAACGAGUCUCGCAGAGGCCCAUUCACACUAAUGUUAAGUUCACACCGGGGAAUUCUGCUCGUAGAAUUCCGCGGGAAUUCCGUAGUGUGAACGCACCCUUAUUGGCAAACACAGGUCUACGCUGCUCCUGCACUACUAGGAUAUAAUGAUGUCCUUUACUAAACCCUGUUGUGUUCAGUCAAUGUUUGCACCAAAAACAUUAGUGCUCCUAUAUGUCUACACAUAGCAGCCACUUUUCAGACCAGGAAGGAUGGCGAUAGUGUUUAACUUGGUUAUUUUGAUACACACCAAAGACUUCAUGAUUAUGUGGUGUCCCAGUACAGGUACAUUAUGUCAAGGUAUUUUAGGCCCUGUCAGAUUGAGAUCUCCAGUGUCCUGGGGGCUCCCCUGCAGGGACUCAACCAUUUCUAAUGUGUAUUUUCACUGUUAUAACUUAGCAAUCCAUUAUUAGGUGUCUGUAGCUUUAAUUAUGUUACCUAGCAACCUCAUACUUAGUCAGAAUAUGUGAGAGUUGAGGACUGAGGGCUAGACUAAACUUUUGUGUAAGGUGUUAUAUUAUGUUAUUACUUGUAUGUAACUUUAUUGUAAAUCCUAAAGGGGAUACAGAUGACUCUAUGAUCCACAGUGUGCAGAGUGCAGAAUCCGCAGAGGAGUGAGAGCAAAGAUGAGAGAGAGAUAAGAAAAGCAUGAAGUAACCUCAACUAAUAGCAAGCCUUUACUUCAGCCUUGAUCAGGGAAUUCCUAAAGGACAAUUCAUCAUCUUCCGGAGAAAAGCCACAAAUCUACCGACACUUCAUAAAAUACUAAGGCAACCAUCGAGGAACCAAAUGAUGGUAACAUGUCCUGAAUACAGUAAUACACAGACGGCCGCAUGACUGAAUAACCAUGACCUGGAAUAAUUUGGAAAGGCUGAAGACAGUAGAGAACUUUCUUCAGUGUACAGAAAGAUUCGAGAAAAAAUGGGAAGUGAUUAAAACCUUAUUCUUGUAAGACCUAAAAGUCUCCGCAGGACGAUUCCUUCCUUUCGUGAUAAAUAAUUUCCUGUGAUUGCGCGAUCGGACCUGCAUUGAAGAAGAUUACCAUUUUUUAACAAUUUUAGGAAAUUUAUUGCAAUCCUCAAUCAGGCAUCUUUUGUGUUAUGAAUGUAAUCAUUGUCCUUCAUUUUUAGAGAACGCGCCUCCACAAUGAUACAAUUAUCUGGUGACCUGGAAUUGUGACAUUCAUUUAUUAGACGCGCCAAUGUUCCCUUUUUUGUUGUAUGAAGGACUUGUCUAUCUCCAUGGUCUAUGGGCAUUGCACAAUUUUUUUGAAAACAAGCUAAUUAGAAAACAUCCUUAUGUUAUAUGUUUGGAGUAAUGAUUUGUGAUCCGAUUAACAUCUUAAAGGAAAACGGUCAUCUGUUCACCCACACUAGACCCAAUACACUGGGUUAUAGUGUGGGUGAACAGGAGACCGAUGAGGGAUUAAUGGGUUAAAUACCCAAUACACUGGGUUGUAGUUUGCGUGAACAGGAGACCGAUGAGGGGUUAAAUACCCAAUACACUGGGUUAUAGUGUGGGUGAACAGGAGACCGAUGAGGGGUUAAUGGGUUAC